CUUAUGAGCCCCGUCUGUCGCCUCCGGAGGUGUUUAAGGGCCAAGUUAUGGGGUACUGCUGAGUGGCAGAAGGACUCCCUCAUUUGUUAUCAGUUCAAGGACUUUUCCAAGGAGCUAAUCAGGGUCUUCCAUCCAGUUCUGCCUGCGAGGGAGGCUACACGUGGUUUGCUCAAACUCAAACAAGGCAGGAGGGUCUACUCGGGAUGCUCCCAAGAAUCUGGAGGAACUGGAGACUCUGGCCGCAAGGAUCGACAUGAGGCUUCAUGAGAGAAGGUUGGAGAGGGGUUCUUUCAGUCGUACUUACCAAGUUGAACCUGUUCCCAGGCCACAGCCAUCAGUCUCAGCCCCACCUUUGAGCUCAUCUCCCACCUCUCCGGCGGAGGAGCCUAUGCAGAUUGGUCAAUCACGCUUAUCCCCACAAGAGAGAGAGCGGAGACUUAAGAGAGGCCUUUGUUUCUAUUGUGGUGGAGAGGGUCACCUACUUCGUCUGUGUCCAGCAAAAGGCCAGGCUCAGUAGGAGGUAAGAGGCUCCUGCUGAGUCAAAAGAGAUUAAAAUCCUCUUCUUUCUCUGUUCAGGCCAUUCUCCAAGCUGACUGUCUUACCAAGCACCUAUCUGUCUUUAUUGAUUCAGGAGCAGACGCUGAGUUCAUGGACCGUGGUCUUGCCGAAUCUCUUGGUAUCCAACUCCUACCCACCUCUAAGCAUGAAGACUUCAAGAUACUUCUGCUAGCAGCGCUGCUAAUUCACGGUCAUUCCGUUACAAAACUUAACUCUGAUAGCAGACGGUGUGUCCGUAAAGUAGUUUGACUAAAUAUUGUAUUAUAACCGAAAAGAGAGCCGUAACUUCUGUCAUGAAUGUAGACUAGUAAAAUAAACUAGAAAUUACAAUGAAAUACUGCUACUUCCAGUGGGCGCCGGAAAUAAGACCCAUAAUUGUUUCCUCAUUAAGCCUCCCAGGAAUAAGGUGGAUAACGCCGGUUCUAAGGCCACUUACACCGGUUCUAAAGUCGUUUAUACGGCCGCUUACUCCGGCUCUAAAGCCGGAGUAGAGCCCUAAGUGAACCUCCUAGCAUUUGAGAAGGGAGCAGUAGAGAACGGCUGGCCGAAAUUAGCGUUAGAGUCUAUAUUUUAUUAGUUUAUAUGUGCAAUCUUAGUCUUAUGUAUGAUGUGAGAAAAAAAAUUGUGUGUGUGACAUGUUAGAAGUGUAUAUGCGCAAUUUUUGUAUUUGGUGUAAGCGUGUGAGAGAAAAAUUGUAUAUGUGUGUGAUAUUUUAGUAGUAUAUAUGUGCAAUUUUAAUAUAUUGUGUGUGUGUGUAUGAGGUUUUAG